rnacentral:rRNA from 1 species
UACAGAGGGUGCGAGCGUUAAUCGGAAUUACUGGGCGUAAAGGGCGCGUAGGCGGUUAUGUAAGUUAGAUGUGAAAUCCCUGGGCUUAACCUAGGAACUGCAUCUGAUACUGUAUAACUGGAGUGCGGUAGAGGGUAGUGGAAUUUCCGGUGUAGCGGUGAAAUGCGUAGAUAUCGGAAGGAACACCAGUGGCGAAGGCGGCUACCUGGACUGACACUGACGCUGAGGCGCGAGAGCGUGGGGAGCAAACAGG